UACGAAGGGGGCUAGCGUUGCUCGGAAUCACUGGGCGUAAAGGGUGCGUAGGCGGGUUUCUAAGUCAGAGGUGAAAGCCUGGAGCUCAACUCCCAGAACUGCCUUUGAUACUGGAAGUCUUGAGUAUGGCAGAGGUGAGUGGGAACUGCGAGUGUAAGAGGUGAAAUUCGUAGAUAUUCGCAAAGAACACCAGUGGCGAAGGCGGCUCACUGGGCCAUUACUGACGCUGAGGCACGAAAGCGUGGGGAGCAAACAGG
rnacentral:rRNA from 1 species